AUUGAACGCUGGCGGCAGGCCUAACACAUGCAAGUCGAGCGGAUGAAGGGAGCUUGCUCCUGGAUUCAGCGGCGGACGGAUGAGUAAUGCCUAGGAAUCUGCCUGGUAGUGGGGGAUAACGUCCGGAAACGGGCGCUAAUACCGCAUACGUCCUGAGGGAGAAAGUGGGGGAUCUUCGGACCUCACGCUAUCAGAUGAGCCUAGGUCGGAUUAGCUAGUUGGUGGGGUAAAGGCCUACCAAGGCGACGAUCCGUAACUGGUCUGAGAGGAUGAUCAGUCACACUGGAACUGAGACACGGUCCAGACUCCUACGGGAGGCAGCAGUGGGGAAUAUUGGACAAUGGGCGAAAGCCUGAUCCAGCCAUGCCGCGUGUGUGAAGAAGGUCUUCGGAUUGUAAAGCACUUUAAGUUGGGAGGAAGGGCAGUAAGUUAAUACCUUGCUGUUUUGACGUUACCAACAGAAUAAGCACCGGCUAACUUCGUG
rnacentral:rRNA from 1 species